rnacentral:lncRNA from 1 species
CUUCUCCCAAAUAUAAUAUUCACUUGCCAUGUCUAUACUUUGACACGAUUUCAAAAAGCACCCAGUUAAAUCAUUCAGAUCAGUCGAUGGGCAAAAACUAUGAAGUUUUCCUGACUCUAUGGUAGAGCUAAGCAUGCAUUUCCUUUAAUGACAGAAAGAACAUGUUCAUCUGAUAAGAAACAAAAAACAAACAAACAAAAAAAGGUCGAUAUAAAUUCUCCACUGUGAUAUACAACACAAAUACCUUUCUUAUAACUUUCUUAUCUUCCUUGGUCGGGCACAUGUCUUGGGACAAAGGCUACCUUGAAAGCUAAGCACGGCUGAAUGAAAACCGAUGAGGUCCGUGGUUCCCUGAAUAAGAAUGGCAUGAAGUAGAGCCACAGGUGAUGUGAGGCAGACUCAUCAUAUGGUUUGUCUUCACCCCAGUGCCUAUUCUCUGAAUAUAAAGUUCUUCAGAACCCAGGAAUCACGUGGUGACUAUGACCAAAGCUCAUUUCCCAACAAGUGGCCACAGAGGACAAGGUGUGGAGGACACUGGAAGGAGCCCAUGACUGACGGGCGUGUUGCCUGAUGCUACAGGAGAUCCAUUGAUCGCAUCUCAAAGCAGUUUCUAGAGAAGCAGGAAGAAUUUAAAAUGCUCUGGAGAAAUUAUUUUCACCAUUUGUGCUUUUAAAGAAUAGGACGUAUUAAUUUUUCAUAAAUUCUUGUUAACCAUGGCAAUACACAAUGCCAUUAUUUCUUAAACUCUGGUUCAGGUUAUUUACAAAAUAGGUCAGGUCACCCCUUUCCAGCCCAGAGCCAGAAUUAAAAUAAAACAAUCCUCACUCCAGCUUCUGUUCUCCCCCGCACACAUUCCUGCCGUCUGGAAGGACCCGAAGCAAACGUUCCUGAUAUAUUUGGAAGGGAACAAAAGUUAGUACGGAACAGCAUUUGACCUCUGUCUUGUAUUAAUGUGAAUCUUAGGCUGCCCUGCACGCACUUCCGAAAGCGACAUAUCUCCCUGCAGGAUCAGUGACAGGGAGACAGCUGGCCGGCCUCAGAACGAGCUCCGCCCCAUAAGGACUGCACGGCUGUCCUGUUAGAAAAGCAACGGUGAGGGGCUCCUCCCCAGCUGGUGCCUUUGUGGGGACUUUCUCAUCAAGAGUCAUUACACCGCCAGCGUGGUGGAGUGACAUAUCCAUGGGGAUUUGGUAACAACGAGAUUCUGUACUGUAGGCUCAUGAAUUCAGGAAUUCAUGAAUAUUGAAGAAAUGCACACGGCUCACCACAAGAAAAUAUCGAUUAAACUUCUUUACCCAAGUGUCAGCAUACUAGGAGUUAAUAAAGUGAACUAAAUUGAUAGGUAACAUUGAUCUCUGACACAGGCAGUAGAAUUAAACCCUGGGUGGGUAAAUAAAUCAAAGCUAGUAGAAGCACCUG